ACGUACACGUUAAUUUACCAUCGUGCACCAGAACAAAUUACCAGAGACAGGCGGCACAAAGGGAUAGGUGUUGUUUCGCUUGAAACACCCUACAAAACACGUACCCCGAAGGCGUCGAUUAAUCGCUAAUCCGCGCUAAAACGGCGAUAAGCAGCGCGACUAAUCUUAUCUGGCCACGAAUUGAGGGGGGUCACGUAAUAGAAGUAGUUUGGGUAAACGUUAGUCGAGACAUUGGGGGAGGGGAGGGGUGCAUCGGCCCCUAAACGUUACGCGUACACGCCUGCAGCGUGUUGUGGACUCGCGAGCUGGCAUCUGCUAUGAGUCACGGGUGACGAAUGGUCGGACGGAGACGGAGAAAGCGGGAGAAAAUUGUUGGGGAAGAGAGGAGGGGGGAUUGUGAGAAGGGAGAAGGAAGAAAAUUAGAGCUGCGAAGGGUGGAAGGAAGAGACGAAAGAGUUGAGACUGUUGAAUUAAAAUUGAGAAGAAAGAAAGGGGAAAAAGGUUGGAGAAGGAAGUUAUGAAGUAGGGAGGGGAGAGGGGAGGGGGGGGGCGUAUUUUGGUAACAGAAGGCGCAUGUGUACACCGAAAGUCUGGACACCUGUCGGCCGCGAUGUCGAAAAUGAUACCGUGUUCCGGGAAAUACGGCGUU